GUGGAUUAGAUACCCCGGUAGUCCACGCCCUAAACGAUGUCAACUAGGUGUUGGGUGGGUAAAACCAUUUAGUACCGUAGCUAACGCGUGAAGUUGACCGCCUGGGGAGUACGGCCGCAAGGUUAAAACUCAAAGGAAUUGACGGGGACCCGCACAAGCGGUGGAUGAUGUGGAUUAAUUCGAUGCAACGCGAAAAACCUUACCUACCCUUGACAUGUCCAGAAGCUCUUAGAGAUUUGAGUGUGCCCGAAAGGGAACUGGAACACAGGUGCUGCAUGGCCGUCGUCAGCU
rnacentral:rRNA from 1 species